AGGAGUUCGAGACCAGCCUGGCCAACAUGGUGAAACCUCGUCUCUACUAAAAAUACAAAAACUAGCCGGCUGUGGUGGUACAUGCCUGUAGUCCCAGCUACUUAGGAGGCUGAGGCAGAAGAAUCACUUGGACCUGGGAGGCAGAGGUUGCAAUGAGCUGAGAUCAUGCAACUGGACUCCAGCCUGGGCCACAGAGCAAGACUCCCUCUCCAAAAAAAAACAAAACAAAAAAAGAGUAUACAUCAUGACCAGGUAGACUUUAUUCCUGGAAUAUAAGGAUGGUUCAACAUAUGGAAAUCAAUUAAUGAACUAUACCAGAUUAACAGGAUGAAGGGAAAAAAUCACAUGAUUCUCUCAACCGAUGCAGAAAAGACAUCUGACAAUAUCCGACAUCCUUUCAUAAUAAAACCACUCAGAAAACAAGGAAUACAGGUAACUCUCUCAACAUGAUAAAGGCCAUGUAUGAAAAAAAAUGUCCAGGUGUGGUGGCUCAUGCCUGUAAUCUCAGCACUUUGGGAGGCUGAGGCGGGUAGAUCACUUGAGGUCAGGAGUUAAGAGACCAGCCUGGCCAACAUGGUGAUACCCCAUCUCUACUAAAAAUACAAAAAAUUAGCCAGGCGUGGUUGCACACGCCUGUAAUCCCAUCUACUCGGGAGGCUGAGACAGGAGAAUCACUUGAACUCAGGAGGCAGAGGUUGCAGUCAGCUGAGAUUGUGCCAUUGCACUCCAGCCUGGGCGACAGAGUGAGAUUUCGUCUCAAAAACAAAAACAACCAAAAAACCCCACAGUUUAUAUCAUCCUCAGUGACAGAAGGCUGGCAGGCUCAAUGAUUCAUGCUCAUAAUCCCACUGCUUUGGGAGGCCAAUGUGGUAGAAUCACUGGAGCCCAGGAGUUCAAGAGAAGCCUGGGCAACAUUACAAGACACUGUCAAAGCAAGGUCAAAUCAAGGGUCAAAGCAAGGUCAAAGGAAGGAGGGAAUGCUCAAUCUCUUUUCCUGAGCUAGGGGUUGGGUUGGGUUUUAUAAGCACAGGGUAAUAAUGAGGCAUGAUCUAAUUGGAUCUCACAAUGAGGUGAUGCUGGAAGGUAAUAUCUGACUGGAUCCUGCCGUGGGGUGAUGCCAGAGCUUGAUCUGAUUGGAUCCUGGAUCCUGCCAUGUGGUGUGUGGUGUCCGAUGUUUUGUUUUUUAACUUUGUUUUUUGUUUUUUUGAGACAGAGUCUCGCUUUGUCACCCAAACUGGAGUGCAGUGGAGCGAUCUCAGCCUACUGCAAACUCUGCCUCCCAAGUUCAAGCAAUUCUCCUGCCUCAGCCUCCUGAGUAGCUGGGAUUACAGGCAUGGACCACCACACCUGGCUUUUUUUUUUUUUUUCCUUUUUUGGUAGAGACAGGGUUUCACCAAGUUGGGCAGGCUGGUCUCAAACUCCUGACCUCAAGUGAUCCGCCCACCUCGGCCUCCCAAAAGGCUGGGAUUACAGGCAUGAGCUACCAUGCCUGGCCUUGUUUUUUAACUUUUAUUUUACAUUAAGUUGUACAUAUGCAGGUUUGUUAUAUAGGUAAACUUGUGUCACGGGGGUUUGUUGUACAGAUUAUUUUCUCGCCCAGGUACUAAGUCUAGUACCCAAUAGUUAUUUUUCCUGCUCCUCUCCCUCCUCCCACCCUCCACUGGGUUCCAGCAUCUGUCGUUCCCCUCUUAGUGCCUAUGAGUUCUCAUCAUUUAGUGAGAGAAUAUAAGUGAGAAUAUGUGGUAUUUUGUUUUCUGUUCCUGCGUUAGUUUGCUAAGGAUAAUGGCCUCCAGCUCCAUCCAUGUUCCUGCAAAGGACAUAAUCACAUGUCUUUUUUUAUGUCUGAAUAGUAUUCCAUGACAUAUAUGUACAUUUUCUUUAUCCAAUCUGUCAUUGAUGGGCAUUUAGGUUGAUUCCAUGUCUUUACUAUUGUGAAUAGUGCUGCAAUGAACAGACGUGUGCAUGUGUCCUUAUGGCAGAACAACUUACAUUCCUUUGGGUAUAUACCCAGUAAUGGGAUUGCUGGGUCGAAUGGUAGUUCUGCCUUUAGGUCUCUGAGGAAUUGCCACGCUGCUUUCCACAAUGGUUGACCUAAUUUACACUCCCACCAACACUGUACAAGUGUUCCCUUUUCUCUAUGACCUUGCCAGCAUGUUAUUUUUUCUUUUUUUUACUUUUUAAUAAUAGCCAUUCUGGCUGAUGUGAGAUGGUAUCUCAUUGUGGUUUUGAUUUCUGUUUCUUUAAUGAUCAGUGAUAUUGAGUUUUUUUUCAAAUGUUUGUUGGUUGCAUGUAUGUCUUCUUUCGAAAAGUGUCUAGGAAUGAGAUACUGUCACCACUUCUAUUCAACAUAGUGUUAAAAGUUCUAACCAGAGCAAUUUGGCAAAAAUGAAAUGAAAAGAAAAGAGAAAAGAGAGAAAGAGAGAGAGAGAAAGAGAGGGAGAGAGGGAGGGAGGGAAAAGGGAAGGGGAAGGGAAAGGGGAAGGGGAGGGAGGAAGGAAAAGAGUGUCCAAAUUAGAAAAAAAUUAAACUUAUCUCUAUUUGCAGAUAGAUUUUAUAUUCUAAAACAGUAAAUACGCCACUGAAAAUGUAUUAUAACUUGUCUGAGUGUGGUGGAGCAUGCCUAUAAUCCCAGCACUU
rnacentral:lncRNA from 1 species